rfam:Pantoea stewartii subsp. stewartii DC283 WGS_Sequence28, whole genome shotgun sequence.
AUUAGGGUGACCGAGUGUGGGGAGGAAGCGUGGAGCAUAAAUCGUGAGCCGAUGGACAAGAACCGGAUACAAGGCGCUGUUAAGCAGGGUGAGCGGGCACGUCUCCGCGAAGCUCUCGUGAUCAAGGCGAGGCAGCGUAAAUUCGGCGGUUGUACGAUGAAGGAGUGCGUUC